AAUGUUACACCCAAACCAAGUGCAUAAUACCAAAGAUAAGAUAAAUCCAAGGUCAAACAGAAGCAAAGCAAACUAAUGAACAAAGCAUACAUUAAUAUUGCAAAUCCACAAGGUACUAUACUAUAUGUAUAGACUCAUUCACUUGUACAUAAAAGAAGAAGAAGAAGGAGGGACGAAAGCAAAAUCAUGAAGGAGAAAGGGUAAUUUUAAU
rnacentral:lncRNA from 1 species